AGACAGCAGCCGCCACGGGAAUACGUAGGUGGCAAGCGUUGUCCGGAAUUAUUGGGCGUAAAGGGUGCGUAGGCGGUUUGACAAGUCUUGUGUGAAAUCUCUGGGCUCAACCCAGAGUCUGCACGGGAAACUGUCGGGCUAGAGGAUGGGAGAGGUGAGUGGAAUUUCCGGUGUAGCGGUGAGAUGCGUAGAUAUCGGAAGGAACACCUGUGGCGAAAGCGGCUCACUGGACCAUUUCUGACGCUGAUGCACGAAAGCUAGGGGAGCAAACAGGAUUAGAUACCCCGUAGUCCCUGUCUCUUAUACC
rnacentral:rRNA from 1 species